rnacentral:rRNA from 1 species
CGAGCGGCGAACGGGUGAGUAACACGUGAGCAACCUGCCCUAGGCUUUGGGAUAACCCUCGGAAACGGGGGCUAAUACCGAAUAUUACUUGACCUCGCAUGGGGUUGGGUGGAAAGUUUUUCGGCCUGGGAUGGGCUCGCGGCCUAUCAGCUUGUUGGUGGGGUGAUGGCCUACCAAGGCGACGACGGGUAGCCGGCCUGAGAGGGCGACCGGCCACACUGGGACUGAGACACGGCCCAGACUCCUACGGGAGGCAGCAGUGGGGAAUAUUGCACAAUGGGCGGAAGCCUGAUGCAGCGACGCCGCGUGAGGGAUGACGGCCUUCGGGUUGUAAACCUCUUUCAGCAGGGACGAAGCGUAAGUGACGGUACCUGCAGAAGAAGCACCGGCCAACUACGUGCCAGCAGCCGCGGUAAGACGUAGGGUGCGAGCGUUGUCCGGAUUUAUUGGGCGUAAAGAGCUCGUAGGCGGCUUGUCGCGUCGACCGUGAAAACUUGGGGCUCAACCCCAAGCCUGCGGUCGAUACGGGCAGGCUAGAGUUCGGUAGGGGAGACUGGAAUUCCUGGUGUAGCGGUGAAAUGCGCAGAUAUCAGGAGGAACACCGGUGGCGAAGGCGGGUCUCUGGGCCGAUACUGACGCUGAGGAGCGAAAGCGUGGGGAGCGAACAGGAUUAGAUACCCUGGUAGUCCACGCUGUAAACGUUGGGCGCUAGGUGUGGGGGGCCUCUCCGGUUUCCUGUGCCGCAGCUAAC